AGUGAACGCUGGCGGUAGGCCUAAUACAUGCAAGUCGAACGGCAGCACAGUAAGAGCUUGCUCUUACGGGUGGCGAGUGGCGGACGGGUGAGGAAUACAUCGGAAUCUACUUUUUCGUGGGGGAUAACGUAGGGAAACUUACGCUAAUACCGAAUACGACCUACGGGUGAAAGCAGGGGAUCUUCGGACCUUGCGCGAUUGAAUGAGCCGAUGUCGGAUUAGCUAGUUGGCGGGGUAAAGGCCCACCAAGGCGACGAUCCGUAGCUGGUCUGAGAGGAUGAUCGGCCACACUGGAACUGAGACACGGUCCAGACUCCUACGGGAGGCAGCAGUGGGGAAUAUUGGACAAUGGGCGCAAGCCUGAUCCAGCCAUACCGCGUGGGUGAUGAAGGCCUUCGGGUUGUAAAGCCCUUUUGUUGGGAAAGAAAAGCAGCAGGUGAAUACCCCGCUGUUCUGACGGUACCCAAAGAAUAAGCACCGGCUAACUUCGUG
rnacentral:rRNA from 1 species